ACUCAGUUGGAAGAAUGUAUGAUUCUUGAACUCAGGGUUGUGGGUUCAAGUCCCACACUGGGUA
rnacentral:tRNA from 1 species